rnacentral:rRNA from 1 species
AUGUGCAGGUGGACCGAAAGAGGCAGUUGCUCAGAAUAUCUUCAUGAUGGUUUGAUAUGUGAAACUGAUGCACCAAAGGUAAUGCUUAUAUGGGAGCAACCGAGCAAGGACUUCAGGAACCAGGCUACUCUGUUGGCAAAUAGUUCAUGCAGCAAUAUGCCGUUUUUGACAGCUGAAUGGAAUGUCUUCCCUUCGUCAUAUGCCUGCCUGCCUAACGAAGUAACGAGUAACGAUGAUGGAUUGUAUGAAGGCCCUUCCCUGCUGCGGAUUCUGAGCAACCGCAUGCAAACUGCAGCUAAGCCGGGAGGAGGCGCGGGAAGUGACCCCCAGUCUCUGUUUCUGAAAUCCUUCUGGGGUCAUGGAGAUACAGUAUGUACCGCAUCUUACACAAGCUCGAGAGUGAAUGCGCAUAUUGAGCUCACAUCAUCCAGCCACACAAAACGGUGCUGA